rnacentral:rRNA from 1 species
AUUGAACGCUGGCGGAAUGCUUUACACAUGCAAGUCGAACGGCAGCACGGGGCAACCUGGUGGCGAGUGGCGAACGGGUGAGUAAUACAUCGGAACGUGCCCAGUCGUGGGGGAUAACGCAGCGAAAGCUGUGCUAAUACCGCAUGAGAACUGAGGUUGAAAGCGGGGGACUCGCAAGGGCCCCGCGCGAUUGGAGCGGCCGAUGGCAGAUUAGGUAGUUGGUGGGGUAAAGGCCCACCAAGCCGACGAUCUGUAGCUGGUCUGAGAGGACGACCAGCCACACUGGGACUGAGACACGGCCCAGACUCCUACGGGAGGCAGCAGUGGGGAAUUUUGGACAAUGGGCGCAAGCCUGAUCCAGCCAUUCCGCGUGCAGGAUGAAGGCCUUCGGGUUGUAAACUGCUUUUGGACGGAACGAAAAGCCCUCUUCUAAUACAGGGGGGUCAUGACGGUACCGUCAGAAUAAGCACCGGCUAACUACGUGCCAGCAGCCGCGGUAA